AGGGCUUGUCUACAUCAGAAAGUUGCAGCGCUGGUGAGGGAGUUACAGCGCUGCAACUUUGAAGGUGUACACAUCUGCAGGGCACCACCAGCGCUGCAACUCCCUGUUUGCAGCGCUGGCCGUACUCCCGUUUUGUCUCGGGUGUAGAGGAUCCAGCGCUGGUGAUCCAGCGCUGGUAAUCCAAUGUAGACACUUACCAGCGCUUUUCUUGACCUCCGUGGAAGGAGGAAGCCUCUGGUAAUCAAGCUGGUCUCCUUUCCCGGUUUGCUCUCUCGUUCCCGGAGCCCCGAGCAAGCAGGUCUCCUUCCCUGCGGUUUGCUGGGUGGCUCCGGGAACGCGAGAGCAAACCGCGGCGAAGCGGGUCUCCUUUCCCGGUUUGCUCUCUCGUUCCCGGAGCCCCGAGCAAGCAGGUCUCCUUCCCUGCGGUUUGCUGGGUGGCUCCGGGAACGCGAGAGCAAACCGCGGCGAAGCGGGUCUCCUUUCCCGGUUUGCUCUCGCGUUCCCGGAACCCCCCUUGAAGCCGCCCAACAGCGCUGCAGUGUGGCCACAUCUAACACCACUUGCAGCGCUGGUUGCUGUAAGUGUGGCCACUCUGCAGCGCUGGCCCUAUACAGCUGUACUAAUACAGCUGUAACAACCAGCGCUGCAAAACUUUAGAUGUAGACAU